rnacentral:rRNA from 1 species
UACGUAGGGUGCGAGCGUUGUCCGGAAUUAUUGGGCGUAAAGAGCUCGUAGGCGGUGUGUCACGUCGGCCGUGAAAACCGGGGGCUUAACCCUCGGCGUGCGGGCGAUACGGGCAGACUUGAGUACUGCAGGGGAGACUGGAAUUCCUGGUGUAGCGGUGGAAUGCGUAGAUAUCGGGAGGAACACCAGUGGCGAAGGCGACUACCUGGCCUGUUCUUGACGCUGAGGCGCGAAAGCUAGGGGAGCAAACGGG